UACCUGAAAGGAGGGUGCAGAGAGGUGGGGAUUAGUCUCUUUAACGAAGUAACAAGCGACAGAACAAGAGGGAAUGGCCUCAAGUUGUGCCAGGGAAAGUUUAGUCUAGAUAUGAGGAAGUAUUUCUUUACAGAACAGGUUGUUAGAUGUUGGA